rnacentral:rRNA from 1 species
UAGGGAAUCUUCGGCAAUGGACGAAAGUCUGACCGAGCAACGCCGCGUGAGUGAAGAAGGUUUUCGGAUCGUAAAACUCUGUUGUUAGAGAAGAACAAGGAUGAGAGUAGAAUGUUCAUCCCUUGACGGUAUCUAACCAGAAAGCCACGGCUAACUACGUGCCAGCAGCCGCGGUAAUACGUAGGUGGCAAGCGUUGUCCGGAUUUAUUGGGCGUAAAGCGAGCGCAGGCGGUUUCUUAAGUCUGAUGUGAAAGCCCCCGGCUCAACCGGGGAGGGUCAUUGGAAACUGGGAAACUUGAGUGCAGAAGAGGAGAGUGGAAUUCCAUGUGUAGCGGUGAAAUGCGUAGAUAUAUGGAGGAACACCAGUGGCGAAGGCGGCUCUCUGGUCUGUAACUGACGCUGAGGCUCGAAAGCGUGGGGAGCAAACAGG